CAGUCGCCGCGGGAAAACCAGCACCUCGAGUGGUCAGGAGGUUUAUUGGGCCUAAAGCAUCCGUAGCCGGUUGCAUAAGUUUUCGGUUAAAUCUAUGCGCUUAACGUAUAGGCCGCCGAAAAUACUGUGCAGCUAGGGAGUGGGAGAGGUACACGGUACUCGAUAGGAAGGGGUAAAAUCCUUUGAUCUAUUGAUGACCACCUGUGGCGAAGGCGGUGUACCAGAACACGUUCGACGGUGAGGGAUGAAAGCUGGGGGAGCAAACCGGAUUAGAUACCCGCGUAGUCCCUGUCUCUUAUAC
rnacentral:rRNA from 1 species